GAUGAAGAACGUAGCGAAAUGCGAUAAGUAAUGUGAAUUGCAGAAUUCAGUGAAUCAUCGAAUCUUUGAACGCAUCUUGCGCUCCUUGGUAUUCUGAGGAGCAUGCCUGUUUGAGUGACAUUAAAUUCUCAACUACACUGACUUUGAAUUGGUGUGGCUUGGAUUUGGGGGGAAAAUUGUUGUGGGCUUUUUGUAUAGUCUGCUCCCCUGAAAUUGAUUAGCGGUACCUUUGUGGAACUGUCUACAGGUGUGAUAAUUAUCUACAUCUUAGACAUCUGCUGGAAUGCUGCUUUCUAAACCUUACUUGUAUUGACAAUCUUGACCUCAAAUCAGGUAGGACUACCCGCUGAACUUAAGCAUAUCAAUAAGCGGAGGA
rnacentral:misc_RNA from 1 species